UUCUUGUUCUGCUGAAAGAACCAUUUCUGUGCACAUCUUUGAAUAGCAAAUAACACUUGCUGGAAGAUUUCAAAAAGAGGGGACAAUCCUUUUCCUUGCCGUGCUCCCGGUGUUAAAGAAGGCCUACAUUUCUCUUCUCCAAGGCAGUUUAUGAGUCAUCCCAUCCAGAGGAACCAGAUUGCUAAACUACAAAGAUAAGACCGGCCAAACCUUAAGACGUAAGCUCCAAAUUGUCUUGGUUGAUACAUAAAGACAAUGGAUGCCAUAUUCCAAAGUAAAACCACCACACGGGACUUACAAAAAGGAGGAGGAAGAAAACCAGUCUUGCAACACUUAGCUGACCAUCCACCUCCAGCUAUAAAAAUGUUUGGAGAAAUUAAAAAGACAAUGAAGACAGUUUUUGGAAUGGAAAGUUGGCGUGUCAAGGGAAAGAAAUGGUGCCUGCCCUUUGCCCUCAAACCCACCGUGGAGGGCUUCAGGGAGACCACAAUUGGAGGCCACAGUGGACCAGCGUAAGUCGCCCAUCUGAGGAAUCCGAAGCCCAGCAUUCGGACUUGCCAGGAGCUGAUGACAGAGGAGUCAAAGGAAAGGAGGCUGCAUGGUCUGUAAUCUCAGAGUUUGUGAGGGCACAGAAGGGUGUUUCCUUGAAUGAGCAGUGGGCCAGGAGAGAGAGAGAGAAAGGGAGCAUCACAGAGCCAACCAGCAUUGGAUUGUGUCCCAUCCCAUCUGAGAGGGCGACCAGGCGAGACACGCCAACCCUGAGGGUUCAGAAACUACGGUUAGCACAAUGGCUGAAGGAGAAAGAGAAGCUUUAAGCGAGGAACGAGAGGAAGCCAGCACACCCUUCUCUAACUGAAUGUUUCCCCUCUCUGUCAGGCCUAAGCUGGGGAGGGAGAGACGCCUCAAUGUUAAAUCAAGUUCAACAUUUU
rnacentral:lncRNA from 1 species